UCAAUCUUAAAUGCUGUAUAGGAGGAUCUCAUUGAGAAGAUAUCAUUUGAGCAAAGAUGUAAAGCAAGGGAGGGAAUGAGUCAGUGGCUACAUAGCGAGAGUGUCCUAGGCAGAGGAAACAGCUUCUACAAAAGCCCUGAAGCAAGAGAAUGUUUGAAGUGUUCAAGAAUAAACAGGAGAUGCAGAAUGAAUGGAAUUGAGAGUGAGUGAGGCAGUCGGAUACAAGAGAGACUAAUAUGGGGCAGCACUGAAGACUGCUGACAGCAGCCACAUGAGUGAGCUCAGAGUGGACACAACAGCCCCUUCAGAGGCUGCAGGGAUGGCAGACAGCCUGACUGCAAUGUCGUGAAAGAUGCUGAGGCAGAACCAUGCAGCAAAGUCAUUCCCAGAUUCCUGACUCUCAGAAAAUUGUUACUUUAGAGAAGUCUGAACUUGCCCUUUUUUUCAUCUUUAUGCCUGAGGAAAUUUUUCUUUAUCAUCAAAGAACUCUGAGAAUUGAUGGGCACUGUGUUAGAGCAAGUGGGAAGUAUAGACACAGCUUCCCAUGUUAAGCACGAGCAAGAAGAAAAUAAUUUGAAUGGAAACUAUUCAAAUAUAUCACAGUGAUCAAAGAUUUAAAAGUGGAUGAAAAGAGACAGCUCAAGAACCCAAUUCAGAAGACAGCAUAGCUCAAGGAGUAAGCGGUGAAGUGAGCUACAUCUACAAAUACUUUUGUUGUUGUUCUUU
rnacentral:lncRNA from 1 species